AGCGGGUGAACAUGUGAAAAGACAUGAUUUAAGAGAAUAUUGUUCAAUUUUGAUUUCUUGCAAAUAUUUUGUGUUUGUUUCCUGAAAAUGUUUUUCUUAAGUAUGGUAUUUCAGUUUGUUUUGUCAAAUAGUGAUUAAUUAUACCUGCUGGUUCUAACGCCAUUGAUUAUCUCAGUUCAAUCAUAAGAGGGAAAUUGGCGGAACAUCAAGUACUGAUCAAAGGAUAAUGGAUCCGAGCCAUGGAAGACCCCCAAUAGAAUACUACGCGGGAUUUGAUUGGCCUCCUAAAAAUGUACAAGCUAUAGAAGAUGUACCUGUACAAGCUACGGGAGAGCACAAAAAUAUGCACCCGCCGCAACAAUUUUUUGAACGGAGGAAGGUAAGUGUGGAGGGUUUAUUUUACGUUAUCAAGGAUAAUGAAAAAGAAUUACGUGAUUGUUAUGCAGAAAUAUUAUUGUUUUUUUUUUUUUAUAUAUAACUUUUCCCUUAUUAUUUCCUCUCAAGUCCUUAUGCAUGUCAUUGUAUCUUACAACAAAAAUCCGAAACCUAAAAAACUGAAAAAUCAAAAUUAAAAGAAUUAGAUAUUUCAUAGUUAAGAGUAAUAUUAACAGGAUUUUAUGAAAACUAUAAGAGUAGGAGUAGAAGUAGAAUAUUAAUGAAUCUAUUACAAGGAAAAUAAAUGAAGUUUACCCUUUUAUUUUACAGCAAGACACCACUAGUUUGCAUUCCAUAAUAAAACAUAAGUGAAAAGGUUGUCGCCAAAACCCCUCAGAAAACUGAAAUUUUCGAGUCCAAAAUUGGGUAACAUAUAGAACUGGAUACCCGUUUUUUUUUUUUUUGAGCGGGUGAACAUGUGAAAAGACAUGAUUUAAGAGAAUAUUGUUCAAUUUUGAUUUCUUGCAAAUAUUUUGUGUUUGUUUCCUGAAAAUGUUUUUCUUAAGUAUGGUAUUUCAGUUUGUUUUGUCAAAUAGUGAUUAAUUAUACCUGCUGGUUCUAACGCCAUUGAUUAUCUCAGUUCAAUCAUAAGAGGGAAAUUGGCGGAACAUCAAGUACUGAUCAAAGGAUAAUGGAUCCG
rnacentral:lncRNA from 1 species